AGGAUGAACGCUGGCGGCGUGCUUAACACAUGCAAGUCGAACGUGAGGAUGCAGCAAUGUAUCUGAAAGUGGCGGACGGGUGAGUAACACGUGGGUGACCUGCCUCGUAGUGGGGGAUAACCAUGGGAAACUGUGGCUAAUACCGCAUGGACCGGUUGGGAAGGGAUUUCAACGGGUAAAGCUUGAUGUGCUACGAGAGGGGCCUGCGGUCGAUUAGGUUGUUGGUGGGGUAAUGGCCUACCAAGCCGAUGAUCGAUAGCUGGUCUGAGAGGACGAUCAGCCACACGGGAACUGAGAGACGGUCCCGACUCCGUACGGGGGCAGCAGUGAGGAAUAUGGCAAUGGGCGCAAGCCUGACCCAGCAACGCCGCGUGAAGGAUGAAGGCCCGUUGGUUGUUAAACUUCGUUUGUGGGAAGAGGAACGGACGGUACCCCAAGAAUAAGCACGGCUAACUACGU
rnacentral:rRNA from 1 species